rnacentral:snRNA from 1 species
GGAUAUGAGGACCAUCUGGUGCAACAUCUGUCACCCCAUUGAUUGCCGGGGUUGGUUUGGCUGAUUUGACUGGUUAGGCAGGUGUCCGCUUCGUCCCUCACCAAUCCAGGUUUGUCCCUCCCAAAGUUGCCUGCUCACUUGAAGAGGACGAGCAUCCCCAAUAGAGGAGGACCCUUCUUUGGUCAAGGGUAUAUGAGUAGCUGCACUCCUCUACUAGGACCUCCAAACAAGCUCUCAAGACUUCAUUUUUUUAAAGUUGAUUUUCAUUUAAAGAAUUCAGUGAAAACUGAGCAUGAAUGAAUAUUGGUAAUAUAGGUUCUGAGUAGUCAUUGAUUCGGAGAACUUAAAA